rnacentral:rRNA from 1 species
GACGAACCGUGCGAACGUUAUUCGGAAUCACUGGGCUUAAAGCGCGUGUAGGCGGGCCGCCGCGUCGGCUGCUGAAAACCCCCGGCUCAACCGGGGAACGGGCACCGAUACGGGCGGCCUCGAGGGGGGUAGGGGGGUCUGGAACUUCCGGUGGAGCGGUGAAAUGCGUUGAGAUCGGAAGGAACGCCCGUGGCGAAAGCGAGGCCCUGGACCCUUACUGACGCUGAGACGCGAAAGCCAGGGGAGCGAACGGG